rnacentral:rRNA from 1 species
UACGAAGGGGGCUAGCGUUGCUCGGAAUCACUGGGCGUAAAGCGCACGUAGGCGGGUCGUUAAGUCAGGGGUGAAAUCCUGGAGCUCAACUCCAGAACUGCCUUUGAUACUGGAGAGCUUGAGUCCGGAAGAGGUGAGUGGAACUCCGAGUGUAGAGGUGAAAUUCGUAGAUAUUCGGAAGAACACCAGUGGCGAAGGCGGCUCACUGGUCCGGUACUGACGCUGAUGUGCGAAAGCGUGGGGAGCAAACAGG